UACGUAGGGUGCGAGCGUUAAUCGGAAUUACUGGGCGUAAAGCGUGCGCAGGCGGUUUUGUAAGCCAGAUGUGAAAUCCCCGGGCUUAACCUGGGAAUGGCAUUUGGGACUGCAAGGCUGGAGUGUGGCAGAGGAGACUGGAAUUCCCGGUGUAGCAGUGAAAUGCGUAGAUAUCUGGAGGAACACCGGUGGCGAAGGCGGCAUCCUGGACUACUACUGAACGCUGACGUGAGCGAAAGCCAGGGGAGCAAACGGGAUUAAGAUGAC
rnacentral:rRNA from 1 species